rnacentral:rRNA from 1 species
UACAGAGGUCUCAAGCGUUUGUUCGGAUUCAUUGGGCGUAAAGGGUGCGUAGGCGGCGCGGUAAGUCGGGUGUGAAAGCCCCCGGCUCAACUGGGGAGGGUCACGCGAUACUGAUCGACUCGAAGGCAGGAGAGGGUAGUGGAAUUCCCGGUGUAGUGGUGAAAUGCGUAGAUAUCGGGAGGAACACCAGUGGCGAAGGCGACUACCUGGCCUGUUCUUGACGCUGAGGCGCGAAAGCUAGGGGAGCAAACGGG